rnacentral:lncRNA from 1 species
CUGUUGCGCUUGCUUCUUAUUCAUUUCCUCUGCGGCCUCCGCAAAAGCGCCAGAGACGCCGCGGAGGAACGGGUCCGUCCACUCGUCGGCAUGUUUGCGCUGAGCUUACAGCGUAUAUCGCGAGCUCCUCCGCUGUCGCCCCACCAUCCGUCGUAGCCGCUGCCUCCGUGAACUCUCGCGCGGAGUGUCAUGACCCAACGGCGGCACCGGACUGCAUCGUCUUCGCCGUCGCAUCGCCUUCACCGUUCGAAUCCGUCGCUAUCGUGUCGUGUCCAAGUGCGCUCCAAACCAGCGUCCUGACAGAACGAGCGUCAACCACAACACCUGUGCGCCUGCUGGAUGUAGUGUGUUUUCGUCGUGACAGACAAGCGUUCGCUUCUAUUCAACGCACAGGAGUGAUUUCCGUUGUAAGCCCUAACGACACGUUCCGUCUCUUUAAUUCUCUCUGGUCAGUAGCGUUUUGUUUCCUUUUGUGUACAGUGACGAGUCUACGACAGGUGUGUUUCGCUUGUGUGCGCGGUGGUGCUCCUUUGCGUCCGUACACACAAAUCCCGCUACAGUCACCGCCGUCGUGUGCUGAUUUUUUUUUCCUCUUUGUUUCGGAGUCGUCUGCUGAACGCUGCGGACGUCUGGGGAUAUUCCUUCUGUGAAGCUUGAAGCCCGAACCCCGUGUCCUGCUGGUUUUUCGUCUGCUCCGAGUGAAACAAAAGACAAACGAAAGGCAGUUUUCGUUUUCGUCUGCUCUCCGAGCAGAUCUCACGGUAUUCUGCGUUUGUUUACUUUAGUUGCGCGUGUUUGAAGUUGUCGCUACCGUACAACACACACAGAUAGAUGCGUGCUUAGUUACGUCACCCGGAUUUUGUGUUACCAAGACCACAGUCUCAGUGUGAACGCCUUGUGUGUCGUGCAAUCGCGAUCGUCCGCCGACUGAAUCGCCGGACGUCGGAAGCUUUUUUUUUUCCGCUGCCGGCACCGCCGCUUAGACGUCGGACCUGUUGGAUAUUGAACGUCCGGGCCUGCCUUACCUGGGAGGGAGAUCCCGCUCGGCGCACCUGUCCGUCGGGCAACCGAGAGAACGCAGCGAGCAACAACAACGUCUGCGAUGAAGU